rnacentral:lncRNA from 1 species
UCUAUUUUAUAUUCUACAGAGCAAAGAGCUUACCUGGAGGCUGAAUGGUCCUUCUCACAUCAUGAAUUGCUUCAAGAAUUUUAUUUUCUACUUGGACAGAGGACAAUCCAGCCAUCAUUUAGAAUAAGUAUCAUGUGAUCUCCAGGACUAGGAUCGUUCCAUGGCCCCCUCUACAGCCAGCCAACAAUAGUGUUUCUUUGCAACAUCAUUUGAGGUGCAAAGCAAGGUAAGAGUUUAAUUGCUGGAAAUCUGAUUGCAGUUCUCACAGACUUUUACAGCUUCUUGACA